UAGGGAAUCUUCGGCAAUGGACGAAAGUCUGACCGAGCAACGCCGCGUGAGUGAAGAAGUUUUUCGGAUCGUAAAACUCUGUUGUUAGAGAAGAACAAGGACGUUAGUAACUGAACGUCCCCUGCCGGUAUCUAACCAGAAAGCCACGGCUAACUACGUGCCAGCAGCCGCGGUAAUACGUAGGUGGCAAGCGUUGUCCGGAUUUAUUGGGCGUCAAGCGAGCGCACGCGGUUUCUUAAGUCUGAUGUGAAAGCCCCCGGCUCAACCGGGGAGGGUCAUUGGAAGCUGUGAGACUUUAUUGAAGAAGAGGAUAGUGGAAUUCCAUGUGUAGCGGUGAAAUGCGUAGAGAUAUGGAGGAACACCAGUGGCGAAGGCGGCUCUCUGGUCUGUAACUGACGCUGAGGCUCGAAAGCGUGGGGAGCAAACAGG
rnacentral:rRNA from 1 species